CCAAUAGCGUAUAUUAAAGUUGUUGCAGUUAAAAAGCUCGUAGUUGAAUUUCGGGAUCAAUAUGUCGGUCGUGCUUCGGUACGUACUUGCAUUAUUGGUUUCUCCCUUCUGAAGAACCAUGAUGUCAUUAAUUUGGUGUCUUGGGGAAUCAGGACUGUUACUUUGAAAAAAUUAGAGUGUUUAAAGCAGGCUCACGCUUGAAUACAUUAGCAUGGAAUAAUGAAAUAGGACGUUUGAUUCUAUUUUGUUGGUUUCUAGGAUCGACGUAAUGAUUAAUAGGGAUAGUUGGGGGCAUUAGUAUUCAAUUGUCAGAGGUGAAAUUCUUGGAUUUAUUGAAGACUAAAUACUGCGAAAGCAUUUGCCAAGGAUGUUUUCAUUAAUCAAGAACGAAAGUUAGGGGAUCGAAGACGAUCAGAUACCGUCGUAGUCUUAACCAUAAACUAUGCCGACUAGGGAUCGGAUGAUGUUAAUUUUUUAAUGACUUAUUCGGCGCCUUACG
rnacentral:rRNA from 1 species